UACGAAGGGGGCAAGCGUUGUUCGGAUUUACUGGGCGUAAAGGGCGCGUAGGCGGCAAUUCAAGUCAUCUGUGAAAUCUCCGGGCUUAACCCGGAACGGUCAGGUGAUACUGUUUUGCUAGAGUGCGGAAGGGGCAAUCGGAAUUCUCGGUGUAGCGGUGAAAUGCGUAGAUAUCGAGAGGAACACCAGUGGCGAAGGCGAGUCCCUGGACAACUCCUGACGCUGAGGCACGAAAGCUAGGGGAGCAAACAGG
rnacentral:rRNA from 1 species